UUUUAGUUUGUAAGAGAAGGAAAUGAUGAGCGGAGUUCAAGCCCGGAGGAGAUACUCCUGUGGAGCUAGAACACAAAGCCGGCUGCUCUCGGCGUCCCACAUCACAGGCCCGUUGCGGCGAACCGCACGCUACACCGCCCAGCCAACCACAGCGGCGUCUGAUCAUAUGGAGAGGGAGGAGCCUAGAGGAACCGACUGAGACACAGGAUAUCUCUGUCGACCUGGAGAGCAGAAGCGAGGGGGGGGGGUCGAAGAUUACAGUGCAGGGGAGAGACAACAAAGCAACAGAAACACUGCUGGCAGCGCCUCACUCACCUGGGUAUCCAUUCCUGUCCAGAUCCUUAGCACCUCGGAGGGCAAAUCCAAAGCUGGCAGGAAUCGUACCGGCAGCCCACUGGCCGGUGAUCACCUGAGAUGGUUUUUCCCUGAGUCCUUCUGAGUGCCCGUUGAAGAUGUAGACCAGUCCCUGCUGAUCCUCCCCUCCAAACGGACAGCUGAUAGCCACGUCUGCCAAAGAGCAACGAUCAACAACAUCACAAUCUUAGACUGCAGCCACCAAGAGGUCAGAUAAUACAACAAGGCAUUUCCAGGUGCUUAAAGUUGCAGUCCCCCGACGACAAUCCCCCAUUCUUACCAUUGAACCCGUCCUGGUUCAGAUCUCCCAGUGGUGCAAUGGUGCUGCCAAAUCUCCCAAACACCUGGGUGCCUGUCAGGUGAGGUGGGCGGAGCUCCAGGUUCAGGGGGCCUCGCUGUAGGUAAACGUAGACGCGGCCCAUCUCUUCCAGGCGGCCAUCGGAGCCUCGGACCAUGAACAUGGGAGCUCCCACCAGCAGGUCCACGGGAUGAGAUUGCAGAUGAAGGAUGAGGAUUGGCUGAAGUUCAAGGUGUGGCUGACAGAAAGACUCGGGAAAACUUGGUUAUACACGGCAGUCGAAAAUUAUUUCCCCCCUCUGAACUCCUGAACUGUUUGGUUUUUCAGAAAACCCCCGAUGACACGAUGUCUGUGCUUCUGCCACAUGAAGGUGCGUCGACGCUUCAAUUUGCGUUUGUGAAUAUUCCCAGAAGUCUGAAGCUGUCGGAGGUCGACCUCAUCAGUGCCCGCGUUCUUUAAUCUGAGGUAGAAGUGCAGAUUCUUAUGUCAGAGAAGAAGUGGGUUCAACUUCUGACGUUUCUGUGCAAAGCUAACUGAAGCUCACGUCAGAUUUAUAUUAUUCAGAGUCUGUUAAACUUAAAUGUAGAUUCAGGCUCCUGCUCCUGAACGCACCACGAAGAUAUCUGAUUGUUGAGUCUCACUCCCAGGACGUCAAAUAACCACAUUUUGCAGAAACGAGACACUAACACACCUCGUCUCCCUCUCUGUCCGUCCUCUUACGUCUUUUCAUGAUGAGAACCGAUAGCUUAAAAAUAAAAAUAAUCUUUAAUUUCCCUCAAA